UCGCCGCUAGCACAGUGGUUAGUGCGUCUGCGUUCUGUGCAGAAGACCGGGGUUCGACUCCUCGGCGGUGAA